CUCUGCUGUUACGUUUAAGUCCCCUGAAUGCAGUUGGAGAAGCCUUUCCCUGGUUCUUGCAACUAGCCAGAACUCUGCUGUAAGAAUGCAGUAGCUGGAGAGAAAUCACUAAACAAGUGAGGUCAGCAUCUCAGGAGAGUCUGUCUGCAGAACUUUUUAGGUAAAACCUCAGCUUUGGAAAAUUCUCAGCUUUUGAGGAAAACCUGUUGUGAAGGACUUAGCAAGGGUACACACAGCAGGAUGUAGAAAGGGAAACACAUUUUUGGCUGCUUGAGAGCCCUCACAGAAACCAGUAAGAUGUCCAAAAGGUCUGAGAAUUUGAGGGAGAAAUUCUUGUGAAGCUGAGCAAUUUUGUGAAUUGCAGCUGGCUUCACAGAAUUCUUAGAUGAGGAACAAAAAAAUGCAAGGCAGUCUCUUGUGUGCUUAUUUAAUGUAAUUAAUUAAUGCAUUUUGAACCACUUUUUUUUGGUGCAAAGGGAUCUUAAUUAUAGCGUAAAAUUCAGCUGUAAUUGGUGUAAAAGAUCUUCAUGUAAAUGAAAAGAUGAGCUGCUGUGUUUGAAAUGAAGGGAAGAAGAAAUGCCCUGUUGUAAGGUCACAGUUUAUGUGGGUCGGAGUCUCAGCUGAUUUAUGUUAAAGGUUAACUCACACAGAGAGAACACGCUCAGGGACUUGUGUAGCACAUGAACCAGCAUUGCUGUCCUGGGUGAGGCUGUAAUGCAGUGAUAAUGAGGGUAACUUGCUUAUUUCUGUAACUUACAAGAUCUAUUCCAAAAAUUGCCUGAAAAUUCUACAAAUGAAGAGGUUUGUAGAGAAAGCUCGUGGAUUUAGCUGUGCUCCAGAAGGACUCCUGUGUCCAAGACCUUCCUGCAGCCUACACCAGCCUGAUCUUCCUGAAAAAAUCAACAGCUUUGGGCUUUCCUUAGUGAUCUGGAUGUAAGUGGAGGCAAGAGCACCUCUUUGUUAUUUAAUUUCACAUGAAUUUGUUUAUUAAGGUGAAAUUUUCUACAUCUCUGUAGAAGUCACAGACCAGAACUCCAAAGCAAUGCUUUUAGUCCCAUUUUGUUCAGGUUCGAAGGUAUCACUUCUUGUGGAGUGCUUUGAUGUAACAUGAUCUGAUUCAUGCAUGAAAUCCCCCUGUAAUUCCCUGGGCUAGUUCAUCUUCUGAGCUUUACCUAACUCCUCUCCCUUCCCAAGCAAAUCCUGCAGCAGUUUCCAGCCUGCUCUGAGUUACCACAAGCGUGGUCAGCCUGGAAGCCCCAUUAUGAGGCAGGAAUCCCUGUGCUUUGGUGGGACAGGAGGCACAUAGCUGCUCUCAGCUGUCCUCUGGACACUCCAUCUGUUCCAGAUGAUGGAGAAGAAUGUGAAGUUGAUGAUAGUCAUUGUCAAAAGAAUCUUGUAAUGUCUCUGUUUUAAAGCUCCUUUUGAGUUUUCAUGAUGAAGUUAAGAGAUGGAAGGGCAAUGCACAAAAGCUUUAUCAGAGUAAGUAACUGGCCUCCUUUGGUUUUAAAGCCAAAAUUAAACUGAUAAAUGCAAAGCCCACCUCUACAAUGGCAGACUGACUUUGGUAUUAUAUUUUCUCUGGAUUUGGUUUAGAGUAAUGUUGUUAUGUUUAGAGUAAUGUCUAUGAAACAUGAUUAUAUGGUAAUUCCUUUAAAAAAAUUCAUUCCCUGCCUUUGUAGAUCAAUGAUUUGUUCUUUUCUCAUUAUAAAUGCUGAUGAAUUCAUACAGGAUUUUAUAAUUUUUUUUAGCAUUGUAACCUCCCCACCUUCUUGCUGAAGCCCCAUUUAAUUUCCUGCUCUUCUUCUCAGCCAUUGCUCCAGAGGAGCACACGAGGAUUGCCCUUGCUGCUGGGUUUUAGGAGCAGGAUGGCAACCUUACACAGAGUCCUAUUCAGUUGUGCAUUUUUCACCUUACCCAUCACUUCUUGUGGAAAGAGAUGGGCAUCUUAUCUUCCUAGCAUUUUUAUCUGAACAUGUUUUUACCAACACAUUAGCUCAUAUUUGUAGAAUCACAGAAUCCUAGGAUGGUUUAGGUUGGAAGGGACCUUAAAGACCAUCUAGUUCCAGCCCCCUGCCUUAGGCAGAGACACCUUCCACUACAGCAGGUUGCUCAAAGGCCCACCUGAACUGGCCUUGGACACUUCCAGGGAUGGAUGCCAAGAUCCAGGUGCAGGACCUUACACUUGGCCUUGUUGAGCUUCAUAAGGUUCAUGUGGGCUCAGUCCUGUCAAGGUCCCUGUGGUGUCCCUUCCCUCCAGCACGUGGACAGCAGCGCUCAGCUCGUGUCCCCAGCACUGACGGAGGUGUUAGACAGCACUGGUCCCCACAGAGACCCCUGAGGAGCACCACUCAUCACUGGUUUCCACUUGGACAUCGAGCUGCUGACCAGAGCUCCUGCAGAGUGACCAUCCAGCCAAUUCCUCAUCCACCAACUGCCAGCUUCACCAGACUGCCACAGUUUCUCAAAUACAAUGGACAGUGGCUCAGCCACUUCACCCACUGCGCCCAUGUACCUCAUGCACCUCAGCAGGUUCCAUGGAUCUGUACACCUUCACAUUCCUUAGAUGCUCUGGUACCUGUUCUUCCCUUACACUGCCGUGGUUCCUCAUUCCCCCAGUCACCUCCUUUGCCUUCUGUGACUUGGCUGGUGUGGCUGGAGCCCCUGCUGGUGAAAAUGGAGGCAAAAACUUCAUUGAGACCUCACCCUUCUCCAUGUCCCACCUGGGUAACCAGGUCUUCUCUUUCCUUCUGAAGAUGGCCCACAUUUUUCUUGGUUUUUCUUUUAUUAUCAAUGACCCUAUAGAAGCCUUUUUUGUUCUCCUUGAUGUCCCUGGCCAGAUUUAAAUCCAUCAGGGUUUUGGCUUUCAUAAUCUGAUCCCUGGCUACAAUUCUGUCUAUAUUCCUCCUGUAUUCCUGCUUACACCCUCUGUAGGCUUCCUUUUUCUGUUUGAUUUUGUCCAGGAGCUCAUGGAUGAUUUUACUGAUGAUUUUAUGAAUAUACCAACCCUAUCAGAUGCUAAUGGUUAUGGCUGCUAAAAGUUUAGGAUGAUUCUAAACCAUGAACAGGUGCCUGAUGGAAGAUCUUAGGAAUUGUUUGCUUGCACAACAAGGAGCAGGGUGUGCUGGUAGGAAGACCAGAUUUCACCUUUGGGAGUCAAAGGACUGUGUUUGAUAGCAAAAGAUUUCCUUCCUUUGCUGGUCAUGUUGUUUUUGCCUUUUUUACAACAGAAUAAAAAUAUUAUUCCUUUAAGAAAAGACCUUCUUGGCUAUUGUUGUUGUUAUCUGCUGAGUCAUGCCAAUAAUUGUUUAUUUUAGCAUUCCUAGAGAAUUUUAGAGAUAGUUUACUCCUCCUUCCCCAGAAGGCAGUUAGGAAAAACUGUGUAAUUUCAUAAAUAAAAUAAAACUAAGGA